rnacentral:rRNA from 1 species
UGUAUCUGAAAGGGCCAUUUCAGUGAAGACGAGUAGGGCGGGGCACGUGAAACCCUGUCUGAACAUGGGGGGACCAUCCUCCAAGGCUAAAUACUACUGACCGACCGAUAGUGAACCAGUACCGUGAGGGAAAGGCGAAAAGAACCCCGGAGAGGGGAGUGAAAUAGAACCUGAAACCGUGUGCGUACAAGCAGUAGGAGCUCCGCAAGGAGUGACUGCGUACCUUUUGUAUAAUGGGUCAGCGACUUACUGUUCGUGGCAAGCUUAACCGUAUAGGGGAGGCGAAGGGAAACCGAGUCUGAUAAGGGCGCAUAGUCGCGGGCAGUAGACCCGAAACCGGGUGAUCUAGUCAUGCCCAGGGUGAAGGUGCGGUAACACGCACUGGAGGCCCGAACCCACUCCCGUUGCAAAGGUAGGGGAUGAGGUGUGAUUAGGAGUGAAAAGCUAAUCGAACCCGGAGAUAGCUGGUUCUCCUCGAAAGCUAUUUAGGUAGCGCCUCAUAUGUAUCCUCUCGGGGGUAGAGCACUGUUAUGGCUAGGGGGUCAUCGCGACUUACCAAACCAUUGCAAACUCCGAAUACCGAGACGGACUGUAUGGGAGACACACGGCGGGUGCUAACGUCCGUCGUGAAAAGGGAAACAACCCAGACCCACAGCUAAGGUCCCAAAUUCACUGCUAAGUGGAAAACCAUGUGGAAAGGCACAGACAGCCAGGAGGUUGGCUUAGAAGCAGCCACCCUUUAAAGAAAGCGUAAUAGCUCACUGGUCGAGUCGGUCUGCGGGGAAGAUUUAACGGGGCUAAGCAGUGAACCGAAGCUUGGGGUGCAUAACUUUGUUAUGCGCGGUAGAGGAGCGUUCCGUAAGCCGUUGAAGGUGGAUUGAGAAGUCUGCUGGAGGUAUCGGAAGUGCGAAUGCUGACAUGAGUAACGAUAAUGCGGGUGAAAAACCCGCACGCCGAAAGCCCAAGGUUUCCUUGCGCAACGUUAAUCGGCGCAGGGUGAGUCGGCCCCUAAGGCGAGGACGAAAGUCGUAGUCGAUGGGAAGCAGGUUAAUAUUCCUGCACCUCGCGUAAGUGCGAUGGAGGGACGGAGAAGGUUAGGUGUACCAGGCGUUGGUUGUCCUGGGGAAAGGCGGUAGGUUUGGAUCUUUGGCAAAUCCGGGAUCCUUCAAGACCGAGCACCGAGACGAGCCUUUAUGGCAAAGUCACUGAUACCACGCUUCCAGGAAAAGCUCCUAAGCUUCAGCUUACGCAGACCGUACCGUAAACCGACACAGGUGGGUAGGAUGAGAAUUCUCAGGCGCUUGAGAGAACUCGGGUGAAGGAACUAGGCAACAUGGCACCGUAACUUCGGGAGAAG